rnacentral:rRNA from 1 species
GACGAACGCUGGCGGCGUGCUUAACACAUGCAAGUCGAACGGAAAGGCCCUGCUUUUGUGGGGUGCUCGAGUGGCGAACGGGUGAGUAACACGUGAGUAACCUGCCCUUGACUUUGGGAUAACUUCAGGAAACUGGGGCUAAUACCGGAUAGGAGCUCCUGCUGCAUGGUGGGGGUUGGAAAGUUUCGGCGGUUGGGGAUGGACUCGCGGCCUAUCAUCUUGUUGGUGGGGUAGUGGCUUACCAAGGCUUUGACGGGUAGCCGGCCUGAGAGGGUGACCGGCCACAUUGGGACUGAGAUACGGCCCAGACUCCUACGGGAGGCAGCAGUGGGGAAUAUUGCACAAUGGGCGGAAGCCUGAUGCAGCAACGCCGCGUGCGGGAUGACGGCCUUCGGGUUGUAAACCGCUUUCGCCUGUGACGAAGCGUGAGUGACGGUAAUGGGUAAAGAAGCACCGGCUAACUACGUG